AUACGGAGGGUGCAAGCGUUAAUCGGAAUUACUGGGCGUAAAGCGUGCGUAGGUGGUUUGUUAAGUCAGAUGUGAAAGCCCCGGGCUCAACCUGGGAACUGCAUUUGAAACUGGCAUACUAGAGUAUAGGAGAGGAAAGUGGAAUUUCAGGUGUAGCGGUGAAAUGCGUAGAUAUCUGAAGGAACAUCAAUGGCGAAGGCAGCUUUCUGGACUAAUACUGACACUGAGGUACGAAAGCGUGGGUAGCAAACAGGAUUAGAAACCCUUGUAGUCC
rnacentral:rRNA from 1 species